CGAGUACUCACUCUGUUGUCACUGGCUAGAGAGAGAGAGAGAGAAAAGGAGGGAGGGAGAAAGAGUGGAGUUUUGUCCCAUAUGUGGAAAAAAAGCACAGCAUUGUACACAGGAGUCUGCUCUGCUCCAGGGACUAUUGUAGCGCUCUCAGAUCUGAUGGAGGACGUGCAGGCAUGAAUAGGGCUGUUCUGUCGUCAGUGCGAGUUCACGCUAGUGAUGGACUACAGCUGGACGGACGCUAACCUCAGCUGCCUUUCACAAACCAGCAUUCCGUCUUACUGAGACCAGCUCCACAGAAUGCUGAGUCCUAUUGUCCCCUAUAGAUUCAUUUGAGUCCAGGGCUCUGGCUCUCCAAAACAGCAUUGUGUGCCGGCCAGCAUGGGGCAGCCUCCGUUGCUUCGGCCUCAAGGGCUCUUUUUUUCCCAGCUCUAUAACUUUC
ensembl:lncRNA